GGUAGAUCUCCCACCCUUGAAAACAUACAUUGUUGCUUUGGCGGACGCUUCGGCAGCCGCCAGAGGACCCUAAACUCUUGUUUACAGUGUCGUCUGAGUACUAUAUAAUAGUUAAAACUUUCAACAACGGAUCUCUUGGUUCUGGCAUCGAUGAAGAACGCAGCGAAAUGCGAUAAGUAAUGUGAAUUGCAGAAUUCAGUGAAUCAUCGAAUCUUUGAACGCACAUUGCGCCCCUUGGUAUUCCGGGGGGCAUGCCUGUUCGAGCGUCAUUAUAACCCCUCAAGCUCAGCUUGGUGUUGGGGCCUGCCAACUGGCAGCCCUUAAAAUCAGUGGCGGCGCCAUCUGGCUCUAAGCGUAGUAAUUUCUCUCGCUAUAGGGUCCCGGUGGAUGCUUGCCAACAACCCCCAAUUUUCUAUGGUUGACCUCGGAUCAGGUAGGGAUACCCGCUGAACUUAAGCAUAUCAAUAAGCGGAGGAAAAGAAACCAACAGGGAUUGCCUCAGUAACGGCGAGUGAAGCGGCAACAGCUCAAAUUUGAAAUCUGGCUCUUUCAGGGUCCGAGUUGUAAUUUGUAGAAGAUGCUUCGGGUGUGGCUCCGGUCUAAGUUCCUUGGAACAGGACGUCAUAGAGGGUGAGAAUCCCGUAUGUGACUGGUUGCCUUCGCCCAUGUGAAGCUCUUUCGACGAGUCGAGUUGUUUGGGAAUGCAGCUCAAAAUGGGUGGUAAAUUUCAUCUAAAGCUAAAUAUUGGCCAGAGACCGAUAGCGCACAAGUAGAGUGAUCGAAAGAUGAAAAGCACUUUGGAAA
rnacentral:rRNA from 1 species